GCGACGGUGGUGUAGUGGAAAGCACACUCAGUUAACGCCACGGAUAUCUUCUUCGGAAGGUUAUUUCCGGGCUGAGAGUGACAAGGGUUCGAAUCCCUUCCCUCGCA